AGUGAACGCUGGCGGUAGGCCUAACACAUGCAAGUCGAACGGCAGCACAGUAAGAGCUUGCUCUUACGGGUGGCGAGUGGCGGACGGGUGAGGAAUACAUCGGAAUCUACUUUUUCGUGGGGGAUAACGUAGGGAAACUUACGCUAAUACCGCAUACGACCUACGGGUUAAAGCAGGGGAUCUUCGGACCUUGCGCGAUUGAAUUAGCCGAUGUCGGAUUAGCUAGUUGGCGGGGUAAAGGCCCACCAAGGCGACGAUCCGUAGCUGGUCUGAGAGGAUGAUCAGCCGCACUGGAACGGAGACACGGUCCAGACUCCUACGGGAGGCAGCAGUGGGGAAUAUUGGAGAAUGGGCGGAAGCAUGAUGCAGCCAUACCGCGUGGGUGAAGAAGGCCUUCGGGUUGUAAAGCCCUUUUUUUGGGAAAGAAAAGCAGCAGGUUAAUACCGCGCUGUUCUGACGGUACCGAAAGAAUAAGCACCGGCUAACUACGUG
rnacentral:rRNA from 1 species